CAGAAUUAACUGGAAUUUAUUUGCUUUUUUUUUUAACAGACUUCUGUUGAGUACCUACCAUAGGUCCGAUACCAUGCUAGAGAUACAAGGACUGUCGAGACAUGGUCCUUGUCCAUACAGGUUUUGCAUCAUUAAAAACUGCUUGAAACAGAGCAAGAGAUGAGAGCAAGAGUCCUUUAUCACCUCAACCGGAGUAAUAAAAAUAUAUAACUCCAUAAACUCAUGAAAGGAUGCUCACCAUUGUUAGUCAUCGGGGAGAUGAAAAGUAAAACCACAGUGAGAUACCACUGCACACCCACCAGAAUGGCUCAACUAUAAAAGCCGACAAUGCCGAGUGUUGCCAAGGAUGUGGAGUAACUGGAACUCUAAUGUAUGGUUAAUGGAAAUAUACAACGUACAGCCACUUUAGAAUUUCAUAUCCCUUGGUGAAGAGCCCUCAGGACUAAGGCCAAACGUUCCCUCCUGCCUGAUCUUCCCACUGAGAUGAAUCAUCUGUCACCACUGCUGGUGGCCAUAUAGAUCACCUCCUAAAUUGAGG